rnacentral:misc_RNA from 1 species
AAGUCGUAGCAAGGUCUCCGUUGGUGAACCAGCGGAGGGAUCAUUAUAGAGUUAUAACAAACUCCCAACCCAUGUGAAUUUACCUAUGUUGCCUCGGCAGGUCUUACCCUGUAGUUACCCUGUAGCUACCCUGUGACCUGCCGGUGGACCUACAAACUCUGUUUUUAAUGGAAAUCUGAGCGUAUUAUUUAAUAAAUAAAAA